rnacentral:rRNA from 1 species
GUUGAAGACAGGAUGUCCGCGCGCUGAACACAUAGGCACGUGAGACGAAGACCCGGUGAACUGAAACAUCUAAGUAGCCGGAGGAAAAGAAAACAAUUUGAUCUUUUAUCUAGGUUGGUGACCUUUCACCGAUUUGGAUAAGAGAUUUCCAUUCCCUGAGUAGUGGCGAGCGAAAAGGGAGCAGCCCAAACCAUCAAGACCACGUACGUAUUUUUUCACUUCGGUGAGACAACGCGUGCUGAAGGAAUUAGGUCCAUAUGUCUUAGUGGUGUUGCAAGAUAGCCGUGCUCACUACCUAAUGCGGUGAGGUGAUUUCGUAUUUUAUUAGUUGAAUUGAGUUGGAAAACUCGGCCAGAGACGGUGAUAGCCCGGUAAACGAAAAUAAUUUACGCGUCAUGAUGGCAUAUUCUUAAGUACUGCGGGACUCGUGAAAUCCCGUAGGAAUCUGGGUCGACUAUGACCCAAGGCUAAAUAUUUCUUGAGAUCGAUAGUGAACUAGUACCGUGAGGGAAAGGUGAAAAGCAUCCCGGUGAGGGAGAUGAAAUAGUAUCUGAAACCAUAUACUUACAAGCAGUCGGAGCCUUAGUUUACUAGGGUGACGGCGUGCCUAUUGAAGAAUGAGCCAACGAGUUUGUUGUAUGCGGCUUGAUUAAUCCGCUUGAAGCGGAGCAGUCACAGUGAAAGCGAGGGUUAACCCCCGUACUCUUACUUAUUAGAAACGACAGUAAGGCUUCGGCUUUAUCGUCUUUCUAAUAUGUAAGAAGGUCGCAUGCACAAGACCCGAAACCCGGUGAUCUAACCAUGGCCAGGUUGAACCUUGUAGAAAUACAAGGGGAGGACCGAACCCGUAAGUCGUGCAACACUUUGGGAUGAGCUGUGGUUAGCGGAGAAAUUCCAAUCGAACUCGGCAAUAGCUGGUUCUCCUCGAAAUAGCUUUAGGGCUAGCCUCGAGCGCUGAACGUAGGGGGUAGAGCACUGAAUGGGAACGGGCCGCAAGGUACCUUUCUCAACCAAACUCCGAAUACCUACGCGUGCAGCUCGGGAGUCAGACUAUGGGCGCUAAGGUCCAUUAGUCUAAAGGGAAACAGCCCAGAUCGCCAGCUAAGGUCCCUAAAUAUAUGCUAAGUGUAAAAGGUGGUGUCGUGACUGCGACAACUAGGAGGUUGGCUUAGAAGCAGCCAUCCUUUAAAGAUAGCGUAAUAGCUCACUAGUCUAGUCGUCUCGCGCCGAAAAUGUACCGGGGCUAAGCAUAUUACCGAAGAUGCGGGCUUGCCACGCAAGUGGUGAGCGGUAGAGGAGCAUUCCAAGACCGCUGAAGUCGCAACGUGAGUUGUGGUGGAGGGCUUGGAAGAGAGAAUGUUGGCAUAAGUAGCACAAAGGCGGGUGAAAACCCCGCCCACCGAAAAUCUAAGGGUUCCUGGGCAACGCAAAUCGACCCAGGGUGAGUCGGUCCUAAGGCGAGGCUGCUGUAGUGGCAGCGUAGUCGAUGGAUGAGCUGGUUAAUAUUCCAGCACUACUGUAAUUUUCCGAUGGGGGGACAAAGUUUUGAGGUUUGAGCGUCUCUAUGGUAUGGACGUCGCUGGCCGUUAGGAUAGAUCUAGGCAAAUCCGGAUCAAUAUUCCGAGCGGUUGGGGGAAGACAAAGCCUUCGGGUAGCGUCAAUUCAAGCUGAAAGAUUUUCAAGAAAAACCUCUAGGGCUAAGGUUACAGUAACCGUACCGUAAACCGACACAGGUAGAUGAGGCGAGGAGCCUCAGGUGUACGAGAGAACCCUCGUUAAGGAACUCGGCAAAAUAGCGGUCGUAAGUUAGCAAUAAGACCUGCCUGGAGCAAUCCGGGCCGCAGCGAAAGAUUCCAAGUGACUGUUUAGCAAAAACACAGCUCCCUGCUAACUCGCAAGAGGAUGUAUAGGGGGUGAUGCCUGGCCAGUGUCCGAACGUUAAGAGGAGAGGUCAUUUUCCUUCGGGAAGAGAAGCUUUGAAUUGAAGCGCGGAUGAACGCCGGCCGUAACUAUAACGGUCCUAAGGUAGCGAAAUUCCUUGUCGGGUAAGUUCC